UACGAAGGGGGCUAGCGUUGCUCGGAAUCACUGGGCGUAAAGGGUGCGUAGGCGGGUUUUUAAGUCAGGGGUGAAAUCCUGGAGCUCAACUCCAGAACUGCCUUUGAUACUGAAGAUCUUGAGUUCGGGAGAGGUGAGCGGAACUGCGAGUGUAGAGGUGAAAUUCGUAGAUAUUCGCAAGAACACCAGUGGCGAAGGCGGCUCACUGGCCCGAUACUGACGCUGAGGCACGAAAGCGUGGGGAGCAAACAGG
rnacentral:rRNA from 1 species